GAUCCAAUUGUGUUUAGUGGUUAGAGCGUCUGUCUCGGAUGCGGGAGGUCGCAGGUUCGAAACCCGGACUGACUCA